rnacentral:rRNA from 1 species
AAAGUUGAAAAGAACUUUGAAGAGAGAGUUCAAGAGUACGUGAAACCGUUCAGGGGUAAACCUGAGAAACCCAAAAGAUCGAAUGGGGAGAUUCAUCGUCAGCGAUCGAGGCACGCGCGCGGCUCGCGAUCCCUUGAGGACUUCGGUCUUUGAGGUACACGUCCGCGUGUGGUUUUUCGCCUUGUGUCGUCGGCGUGCACUUCUCCCCUAGUAGGACGUCGCGACCCGUUGGGUGUCGGUCUACGGCCCGGGUGGGUGCCUGUCAUGUGUACGACGCUUCACGGCGUCAUGUGGCUGACAGACCCCCGGUUGUCCGACCAGCUGCCCGGCGGUACUCGCACGGUAUCGAGCCGCAAAAUUUGAACUGCGUUCGGCCCGCCGCAAGCGAGGCCAGUGUUUCCCGGAUGUACGGACCUAGUGCCGUCACCGGGCCUGGCCAGCUGUUGGUUGGCGGUGUCCUGGAACUGGCUUCACGAGAUUAUAAUACCGGUCGGCGACGCUACUGCUUUGGGUACUUUCAGGACCCGUCUUGAAACACGGACCAAGGAGUCUAACAUGUGCGCGAGUCAUUGGGAACUAUAAAGCCUAAAGGCGCAAUGAAAGUGAAGGUCGGCCUUGCGCCGACCGAGGGAGGAUGGGUCGCGUCACGAUGCGAUCCCGCACUCCCGGGGCGUCUCGUUCUCAUUGCGAGAAGAGGCGCACCCAGAGCGUACACGUUG